rnacentral:rRNA from 1 species
UACGUAGGGUGCGAGCGUUGUCCGGAAUUAUUGGGCGUAAAGAGCUCGUAGGCGGUUCGAUAAGUCGGGUGUGAAAACUCUGGGCUCAACUCAGAGACGCCACCCGAUACUGUUGUGACUUGAGUCCGGUAGGGGAGUAUGGAAUUCCCGGUGUAGCGGUGAAAUGCGCAGAUAUCGGGAGGAACACCAGUGGCGAAGGCGGUACUCUGGGCCGGAACUGACGCUGAGGAGCGAAAGCGUGGGUAGCGAACAGG